GACUAACGCUGGCGGCGUGCCUAACACAUGCAAGUCGAACGGGGGUAGCAAUACUCCAGUGGCAGACGGGUGAGUAACACGUAGUCAACCUUCCCGAUAGUGGGGGAUAACUAGCCGAAAGGUUAGCUAAUACCGCAUACGAUCUAAAUGAGGCAUCUCAUGUAGAUGAAAGGAGCAAUCCGCUUUCGGACGGGACUGCGUCCCAUUAGCUAGAUGGUGGGGUGAUGGCCUACCAUGGCGACGAUGGGUAGCUGGUUUGAGAGAGCGACCAGCCACA
rnacentral:rRNA from 1 species